CCUACGGGUGGCAGCAGUGGGGAAUAUUGCGCAAUGGGCGAAAGCCUGACGCAGCGACGCCGCGUGAGGGAUGAAGGUCUUCGGAUCGUAAACCUCUGUCUGCAGGGAAGCACGGUCACUGUGCUAAUCAGCAGUGAAUUGACGGUACCUGCAAAGGAAGCACCGGCUAACUCCGUGCCAGCAGCCGCGGGAAUACGGAGGGUGCGAGCGCUGAUCGGAAUUACUGGGCGUAAAGCGCUCGUAGGCGGUAUGUCAAGGCAAGGGUGAAAUCCCCGCGCUCAACGUGGGAACUGCCUUUGAAACUGGGAAACUUGAGUGUGUGAGAGGAUAGUGGAAUUCCAGGUGUAGGAGUGAAAUCCGUAGAUAUCUGGAGGAACAUCAGUGGCGAAGGCGACUAUCUGGCACAUAACUGACGCUGAGGAGCGAAAGCGUGGGUAGCAAACAGGAUUAGAUACCCGUGUAGUC
rnacentral:rRNA from 1 species